AUGGAUAUUUGUCACAUUGGACAAGCUUACAUUAAUUCCCCUAAUCUCAAACGUGAUCUAGUCCUUAAGGAUGUCCUUCAUGUCCCACAAGCUGACAAAAACCUUGCCUCUAUGUCUCGUUUAGCCACUGAUAAUAAUGUCUUCUUUGAAACUCAUCCUCGUUACUUUUUUAUAAAGGACCGGGCAAUGAGUGAACUUCUUCAUCACGGUAGAUGCAUUGGAGGGCUCUACCCCAUCACAUCCGGAGCACUUAGUCGCAAGAGUUGGCAAGUUUAUUCUGCCAUCCAACCCUCUUUGGAAAGGUGGCAUCAAAGAUUAGGACACCCAUCAUCGAAGUUAAGCAAGUAG
rnacentral:rRNA from 1 species